rnacentral:lncRNA from 10 species
GCCUGGCCAAGGCCUCGUUUUUACAGAAAAUUGAAAAACAAAAUUAGCUGGCUGUGGUGGCACACACCUGCUGUCCAAGCUACUUGGGAGGCUGAGGUGGGAGGAUAGAUUGAGCCCAGGAGUUUGAGGCUGCAGUGAACUACGAUAGUGUCACUGCACUCCAGCCUGAGCAACAGAGUGAGCCUCUGUCUCUAAACAAUAAAAAAUAAAUGUUUGGCUUAAUAAAUUAUAUUUUGAUGUGGCUGUCAACUUGGGGCUACAGAAUAAGGAAAUACAUCAGUGGGUGGAAGGAGGAGUCUCUACAAAUCUCUGGAAAGGAAAAGUCAUGAAAUAAUAGGUGGGAAACUGGAAAAUGGGUGUUUAAAGAGAAAAAGGAACAUUUUCUUCUUCCUUGGCCUUGGUUUCAAAAAGUCAAGCUGUGCUCAGGGAUGUGUGUGGGUAGAGAAGACGAGAAAUAUAGUCAGGCAACCCUGCAGAACCGUGAGCUCCUUCUCCUCUUCCAGGAUUCUGGGAAGAUGAGGUGGCCUACAGGACCAAGAGACCAAAGCUGUAUCGAGUGAGUCAGACUAUCUAGUUGCUAGCUGAUCACAGAAGAGAAGGUCAGAGAGAUGCAUUCAGGCCGGCCUGGAAAAAAGCAAACAUUCAUAUUGGGAACUACCACUGGUGGCGACAUGUUACCGAACUGCAAGCAGUAUCUGGAAGCUAAGAGUCAUCCCUGGUCAACAACUAACAGGACAACAGGGACCUUAAUCCUACAGUUACAAGGACUGCCAACAAGUGACCUUGGAUAAAGACCCUAAGCCCCAGAUGAGAACUGAAACCCUGGCAACACCUUGAUUUCAGUGAGAUCCUAUACAGAGAAUCUAGCCACACUGUGGCCUGGACUUCUGACCUACAAUAACUAUGAGAUAAUAAAUGUGUUCUUUUUAGCCACUAAAUUUGUGAUAAUUUUUUAUGCAGCAUUUAAAAAGUAACACAAUCUGCAUAAUAAAUUCCUACAAAUGAAAUUGCUAGAUCAAGGGGACAUGCACUUAAAAUUUAUAAAUAUAUUACAAAAUUGCUCUUCAAAUACCUCACAUCUUUGUUGUUGUUGUUGUUGUUGUUGAGACAGGGUCUCACUAUGUCUCCCAGGCUGGAGUGUAGUGGUGAUCACAACUCACUAUAGCCACAAACUCCUGAGCUCAGGUGAUCCUCCCACCUCAAUCAGCCUCCUGAGUAGCUGGGACUAUAGGUAAGUGCCUCUAUGCACAGCUAAUUUUUUGUGUUUUAUUUUGUAGAGAUGGGAUUUCAACAUGUUGACCAGGCUGGUCUUGAACUCUUGGGCUCAAGUGAUCCACUCACCUGAGCCUCCAAAAGUACUGGGAUUACAGGCAUGAGCCACCAUGCUCAACUUACACCAAUUUAAACAUCCACC